CUCUUGUUGGUUUUGUCUUUAAUUUACCUUUAGCUAAUAGAUGGUUCUGUAGGUUAACAACCGAGUAAAGAGAAAGCUAGUUAAGAAGAGGAAUGUGAAGAUAAACAGUUUCACAAAAUGUAAACAACUCCUUUGCCCAAACAAAUGUUGUGUGCUUCUACCACUCACUCUUAGGCUGAAAUGGUUUCUGCUGUGCAAGCCCAAAUUAUAUCAGUUCAACAAAAGAUGCUGUUUGGUUCACAAAGCUGAAAAUGAAAUUCACAUGGAGAAGAGGAGAUGAAAAAGAUGAGAGGGAGAACUACUUCCAAUGAGACCGAAAAGUAGGGCUUGGGGUAUGAAGCAAUUUUAGAAGACCUCUGUAAGGAGGUGCAGAAGCUGUAAGCUGUCAUCUAUGUGGAGCUACUUAGAUGAUACAAAACUUGGUCUCAGAAGCUUGAUGUGUUGUGUAGUUGGAAAAUAGUGGUUGAAUAUCUGGCUAUUUUUGGUUAGAGACCUACCUUCUUUGCAUUCCUUAGUUGGAAAAUGCAG
rnacentral:lncRNA from 1 species